CUCAUUUUCUGUAACCUCAUAUUUCACAUUGUAUCACGUUAGGAUAUUGUGUGGGGAUAUCCCAACAAGUGCCUUUUGGGUUUGCACAUGUCCUUCCCAUCUCUUUUGCCCAAUCUGAGUCCGGUUGUGCCUCUGGGGCUCCUCCCAAUGGUUCAAGGGAUUUUAAACUUGAUCUACAUUUGAAGCUCUCAGCCUAUUUUCCAGAUCCUCUGAUACUCAAACAUUAUUCUUGCUCCCCUCUCAUCACCCAGCCUUCUCCAUCUCCUACACACUCUGAAAUAAUCUGUCAGAAGAUCCUCAUCCUGCCGUGCUGGCUUACUCUGGAUCAAGAGACAAAGACUCCAGCUCUAUCUCUGAUGGACCGAGUAGGAAGAAUCAGCAUGAGUCAACCCACCAGGUUUCCCAGAGCUUAAUCCAGAAGGGACCCAAACACUAGGGAGUGUUUCAGGAGAGGAGGAAGAUCCAGAGCACCACCCUAUGCCAAAGAAAGCAUGAAUGCAGAAUGUGUAACUUCAUGAUGGCUAAACCUUGGAUCCCUGCUUGUCUGAGUCCAUACAGGCUGCAAUAACAAAACACCUUAGACUGGCCUCCCUCCAGUUACAUGUGACCAUGUGACUGAGCCAAUGAAAUAUGAGCAGAAGUGAUGAGUGUCACAACCAGACCAGAUCCAUAAAAAACUCCACCCUUGGCCCUCCAAGCUCUUCUCCCUGUUGACAGAUAAACUGGAGAUGUCCUCCUGAGCAACCUUGGAAACCACAUAUUGAAGAUGGUCUCUGAAUCACCCCUGGCCACCUGACUGGGAACACCAAAUAGGAUUGCUACAUGAGUGAAAAAUAAACAAUUUCUGGGCUGAGUCACUGAGACUUGUUUAUCUGUUCCAGCUGCUGGAGCUACCUUCACCAAUACAGGGGUAAUCAUAGUACCUUUUACUGGGAGGAUUAAGUGAGAUAAUGCUUACUCAACUGCCAGGUACACGGUAAGCACUCACCAUCAUCAACUUUUACUGUAGCAAGGAAGAGUUUACAGACCUG
rnacentral:lncRNA from 1 species